UUUCCGUAGGUGAACCUGCGGAAGGAUCAUUCAUAAUAAAGUGUUCUAUGGCACUUUUUAAAAAUCCAUAUCCACCUUGUGUGCGAUGUUAGAUCUCGUCAAUCUUGGCGAGAUUUUUAUACAUCAACUCAUUCUUUAACUAAUUUGUCUGAAAAAUAUUAUGAAUACUUAAUUCAAAAUACAACUUUCAACAACGGAUCUCUUGGCUCUC
rnacentral:misc_RNA from 1 species